GACGAACGCUGGCGGCGUGCUUAACACAUGCAAGUCGAACGGAAAGGCCCUGCUUUUGUGGGGUGCUCGAGUGGCGAACGGGUGAGUAACACGUGAGUAACCUGCCCUUGACCUUGGGAUAACUUCAGGAAACUGGGGCUAAUACCGGAUAGGAGCUCCUGCUGCAUGGUGGGGGUUGGAAAGUUUCGGCGGUUGGGGAUGGACUCGCGGCUUAUCAGCUUGUUGGUGGGGUAGUGGCUUACCAAGGCUUUGACGGGUAGCCGGCCUGAGAGGGUGACCGGCCACAUUGGGACUGAGAUACGGCCCAGACUCCUACAGGAGGCAGCAGUGGGGAAUAUUGCACAAUGGGCGGAAGCCUGAUGCAGCAACGCCGCGUGCGGGAUGACGGCCUUCGGGUUGUAAACCGCUUUCGCCUGUGACGAAGCGUGAGUGACGGUAAUGGGUAAAGAAGCACCGGCUAACUACGUG
rnacentral:rRNA from 1 species